UACCAGCACCCGAGUGGUCGGACGAUUAUUGGGCCUAAAGCAUCCGUAGCCGGUCCUACAAGUCUUCCGUUAAAUCCACCUGCUUAACAGAUGGCUGCGGAAGAUACUAUAGGGCUAGGAGGCGGAGAGGCAAGCGGUACUCAGUGGGUAGGGUAAAUCCUCUGAUCAUUGAAGACCACCAGUGGCGAAGGCGGCUUGCCAGAACGCGCUCGACGGUGAGGGAUGAAAGCUGGG
rnacentral:rRNA from 1 species